CUGCCGGUCGGAGCAGCUGUUGGCCCGGCGCGCCUGGCUGAUUGGCCGAGGGGAGCCCCCGCCGCCCAGGGGGCCGCGCUGCCGGCAGCGCCGCGCCGCGCUUCGCUUCGCUUCGCUUCCCUGCCCGGCGCGCGCGGGCCGGGCCGCGCCGAGCGGGAGCCGGGCCACGGCGGGGCACCCGGCUUCCUCGGUGGGAGCCGACAGGGCGGGAACGCCAGGCAGAGCGUAGAAGGCUGUUGCUGAGAGGGGACUUCAGGGAGCAGUGGCAGAGCUCGGAGAGGAGUGGAGGAUGACUCAGCAGGGCGCUGUUCUUCAGGGUUACAAUAAUGAACUAGUGAAAUGCAUUGAAGACUUAUGUAUGCAAAAAGAAGAGCUGAACAAACAAAUCCAGCAAGCAGAAGAGGAAAAAAAUAAACUCCAACAUGAAAUCCAAGUCCUGAGUGAACAACUGGAGUGUGUAUGUGAAAACCUGGCCCAAAAGGUAGCUUCACGGAAUGAGCUUGAUAAGAUUCUUGCUGAAACUGAAGCUGCUUACAUGAAGAUUUUGGAUAGUUCUAGAACUUUACUUAAUGUCCUGAAGAAGGAAGUGGGAAGCUUAAAGCAUACGCCAGAGCUGAAAACCAAUGUAACGUGAAACGGUCAAAUGUUUGGACUCCACAGUGCUAAAAUUCCACUAGAGGCAGACACACAGCUUCCUGCAGCGGCCAGCCUAAAUCCAGAAGAUGGAAGUGUUAGGUAGAGACUAUAAAACAAAGUAAGAGGCUGAAGAAUUUUUAACACUUAAUUUUAAACAUUUUUCAAAGUAUGAUACUGAAUAGACUGGUCAUGGAACAUUUUAAAGUUAUAUCUUCAUAGGUGUAAUUUUUUGAGCUUCAUAUGCAUAGGUUCUCAUGCUCCAGUGAGAGCUCUUGUAAUGAGAUUGAGGUUUUCCAUUGAUAUGUGUAUAUGGGAACACUUCUAAAAAAUUAUUUCCGUCAUAGUCCGUGACAGAUCUGUAUCUUACCUUUUUUUUUAAACCACUUCAUAUAGUUGAUUUAGUUGAACAUAGUAAAAAAAAUAGUAAAUUUCUUUCCUAAAUGCUUUCAAAUCUCCUUAUCUGUAUUCAGAAUUAGGUCAAAUUAUUAUUUGUAGUAUUCUCUUUUUGUUGUUAUACGGUUAUUAACAAGCUGAUACAACCUAGAGACCCAUUUGGAUCGGGCAUGUGUCUUGGUUUCAGAGACAAAAUCCUUUUCAUAUUCUGUAAGCUUUAAUUUUUUUAAAGCCUCUUUUUUCUUAUAUAGUAAGAAUGCUUUGAAACACUUUGCGUUGAAAAUCAGCAUGACAGUUAGACUUCUGUGAUGCAUUUUUUUAAUAUAGUUAGUAUUCAGGGCUGAAUUGUAUUCUUUCAGGUGUUUGAAAACAAAAAAACCUAGCAGUAAUUCUUCAUAUGCUUAUGCAGUUGUUCAAUAACAGAAAUCCUGCUUGAGAUUUGUGCUGCUUACUGCCCAAUAGUAAGUGGGAUUACUUGCUGUAAUUGACAAACCCAAGGUACUUUUCAUUAAAUACUGGUCCUUCCUCAAGAAUUGUUGCUAGCAUGAAGGGAAUUGAUACUUCAUCCCAGGGGGACAUGGGGCAAGAGAAGAGCUGCCUUUUUAGUAGAGACCACCCACCUGUGGAAAGAGAGAAGCAUCUUUGUUAGCCUGUCUCAUGGUAAAGGGUUGUGAGACAAUUCAAGCCAAGUGGUUAUAAUGGUCAUAGUUUACUGUUGCAAGGUCCACUGAAGCAAGCUGAAAAAAAUAAAACCCAGUCCAUGCUGUCAGUCAUGAGGAAUGCGAUACCUGAUUGCAGUCAGGUUAUCUUUAAAUGCAAGAGCUCAGGUAUAGCUGGAAGCUGUGUAGCUGCUGCAGUAACGUGCUCAGCAAGGGUUAAUUUGCCCUCCCAAAAAGCAGUUGACCAUGUGGACACACCUAUGAAAUCUUGUGCACUCAGGAGUCACUGAACUUGCUAGAAAAGUGUAACCUGUUUCUGUUGUUGAAGCUCAGGGAAUCCUGUCUUACGUAUAUGCAACAUCAGAUAUGACUCCAUGAGAAGGAUAUUUAUUUUAAAUCCUGUUUCCUUUAGGGGCUUUUCUCUGAAGCCUAAAAUGUUCUUGCUUUAGAUUCAAGUUGUUCAAGUUCAAAAACCUGUGGCCAAGGGGAAAAAUACAGAUGCCCAAGUUCCACUGAAGCCUGCAAGCCUCUCAUUGGGAAUCUUUGCUGCAGCGUAUUGAUCUAAGCUCUUGAACAAUGAGCUGGGGAUGAGGAAUCACAUAUGCAUUCCAGAAACAUUUUUCUGCCCUGAACUCGUCUCAGCAGUGACAGUGCCUGGCUUUGUCAUCCCCUCUGCCACAGCGCUGCCUUCCAGGGCUCAGUUCUUUCUUUUUGCAUCAUCGUUUGCCUAAAUGACACCACAUUUUCUGCAUUCUCAUAACCCAGUUGUCUGGAUUUAGGAGGAAACUGAGAUAACAGCUCUUCAAGGGGAUUUUUGCUGCCACAGGAGCAGUUGUUGUCUGGAUGAGCUCUCAGUCAUUCAAAGGCCAAGCAUUACAAGAAAAAACAGACAUUAAAUCUUUGCAGUCAAAUAUAAAAUGGCAUCAUGGUGCCUCAGCCUCCUGUGCGCUGCCUGCCUUUCUACAUUUCACAGGGUAACAUUUAUCUGGGGACUCAAUGCUUCAAAAAAGUUUAGAUUAAAAUCUAGCUCCAAACUUACCUUUGUAAGGGACUCAAACUGCACACUGAGCGUUGGGGAAAUUCAGAUCCACGUUUCUGUCUGGAUUUCAUGGCUCAAUUCCAGCUGUAGUUUAAAACAAAGAUGCUUAGCUGUUGUCAGCUGAAGUCAAGUCCUGUGUUCCCCUGGCUUCCCAUCAGAUAUGCUUUAUUAAAGCAAAUACUCAUUUUCAUAAUCUCAGAAUUAUGUUCUGAAUUCUUUUUAAAUUCCAGUUAAACACUUUCAUGAAAAAGCUUAUUUUCUAAAUUCUGCCUUACAUUUAACAUGAACUGCAAGGAACGGCAGUGCUUAGCAGGUAUGAUGAAAAGAACAGAUUUGUCAGGAAAGCCUGUAGCAUUGUCCGUUCUGAAGAAAUCUCUCACCAAGAUGGUAGCUGUUUGUAAAAUACACUUCUUGUCUGAUAAUCAGAAAAAGAUAAUCUGUCAUAGAAGUCACAAUUCCUUCAGAGUUUCCCCUCUCAGCUUCCUCUUUGAACAGCUGUCAAUACGUGUAUGAAACUAACUUAAAAACCGGAUAGGUUUGAUGUCUAAUGCAAAACAAACUGAUCUUUUAAAUGGAGCUUUUUCAGGUAGAAAACCCUUUGGAGUUAAUUGGAUGGGAGGAUUCAGGUUAUUUUUCAUCAUUGCAACAUGUUGUUUUGCAACACAAAAUAUGUCCAUUUACAGUAAAUACAGAGAUGUCUGCAACAAA